AGGUAGCGAAAUUCCUUGUCGGGUAAGUUCCGACCUGCACGAAUGGCGUAAUGAUGGCCAGGCUGUCUCCACCCGAGACUCAGUGAAAUUGAACUCGCUGUGAAGAUGCAGUGUACCCGCGGCAAGACGGAAAGACCCCGUGAACCUUUACUAUAGCUUGACACUGAACAUUGAGCCUUGAUGUGUAGGAUAGGUGGGAGGCUUUGAAGUGUGGACGCCAGUCUGCAUGGAGCCGACCUUGAAAUACCACCCUUUAAUGUUUGAUGUUCUAACGUGGACCCGUGAUCCGGGUUGCGGACAGUGUCUGGUGGGUAGUUUGACUGGGGCGGUCUCCUCCUAAAGAGUAACGGAGGAGCACGAAGGUUGGCUAAUCCUGGUCGGACAUCAGGAGGUUAGUGCAAUGGCAUAAGCCAGCUUGACUGCGAGCGUGACGGCGCGAGCAGGUGCGAAAGCAGGUCAUAGUGAUCCGGUGGUUCUGAAUGGAAGGGCCAUCGCUCAACGGAUAAAAGGUACUCCGGGGAUAACAGGCUGAUACCGCCCAAGAGUUCAUAUCGACGGCGGUGUUUGGCACCUCGAUGUCGGCUCAUCACAUCCUGGGGCUGAAGUAGGUCCCAAGGGUAUGGCUGUUCGCCAUUUAAAGUGGUACGCGAGCUGGGUUUAGAACGUCGUGAGACAGUUCGGUCCCUAUCUGCCGUGGGCGCUGGAGAACUGAGGGGGGCUGCUCCUAGUACGAGAGGACCGGAGUGGACGCAUCACUGGUGUUCGGGUUGUCAUGCCAAUGGCACUGCCCGGUAGCUAAAUGCGGAAGAGAUAAGUGCUGAAAGCAUCUAAGCACGAAACUUGCCCCGAGAUGAGUUCUCCCUGACCCUUUAAGGGUCCUGAAGGAACGUUGAAGACGACGACGUUGAUAGGCCGGGUGUGUAAGCGCAGCGAUGCGUUGAGCUAACCGGUACUAAUGAACCGUGAGGCUUAACCU
rnacentral:rRNA from 1 species